rnacentral:rRNA from 1 species
UACGGAGGGGGCUAGCGUUGUUCGGAAUUACUGGGCGUAAAGCGCGCGUAGGCGGCUUUGUAAGUUAGAGGUGAAAGCCCGGAGCUCAACUCCGGAACUGCCUUUAAGACUGCAUCGCUAGAACGAUGGAGAGGUGAGUGGAAUUCCGAGUGUAGAGGUGAAAUUCGUAGAUAUUCGGAAGAACACCAGUGGCGAAGGCGACUCACUGGACACAUAUUGACGCUGAGGUGGCGAAAGCGUGGGGAGCAAACAGG